rnacentral:lncRNA from 1 species
CUUACACUCCCCCGGGCCCGGGACCCCCGUGUCUGCGAAUUCGCCGUGGCCUCCCUGGGUGCCGGGCCCGGCCCGUACGGAUCCUCCUGGGCCCCGCUACCGGCCUCCCCGCGAGGGUCCCGGCCCCGCUGGCCCUGAGCCCGCCAUGGGAGCGCGCCGUCUCUGCCCCUUCCCUCCCCGGCACCAGCAGGCCCUCUGUCCAGCACAAUCAAUAAACACUUGCUAAAUUAGAGAAGAGGGUCUCCGCCUCGCUUGCCCCUCAGCGCUAGGCUCCGUUCCGAUCCUCUGCCUGUUGUGUUCAGCCAGACUGCACCCAUUCUGCUGGGUAUGAAUACGCUCGGAUUUACAGCCCUGUUUCCAGGCUAAUGGACCUUGAACCCAAAGGAAAAGAUAGAGAAAGUGUCUCUGCAGAAUUCUUCUAAGGAACAGAAAAUACAUAUGGCUGUCUGGUGGACCUAACUAUAAACAUUGCCAUCACAUAAAUGAGAAGAAUUUUACAUGGAUAGAUGCUACUGGAAAUGUCAAUCAAGCCGACCAAUGCAGUGACAAAGAAAGAAAAGGAAAAAAUGCAUCCCCCAGCUACAUGCACAAAGACAAGAACAGUUUCUGCCAUUUUGAAGAUUAAUUUCUACUGAGGAGACUACAACCUGUAAAAGGAAAAUUGAGAUGGAAGGAAAUACCAACAGCUAGUGAGGAGGCUUCAUGAAAUGGGUACCACCUGAGGUGUAAUUUGUAAAAAUCAGCCCUUCUUUUUCCCCAUUGUUUAAUUACUAGCCUCCUAGUUGCCUAGAAGAGUUCAUCUGAUUCCCUAUCCAUUUAACAUUCCCAGAGAGGAGACCUGAGUCCUGGGGAAGAUGGGGCCCAUUAAAUUUGUUAAAACCCACAUGCAGAAAUAUGCACAUGUGCAAAUUUGCAGAUGGUCAAAUGAGUCCUACUCAAGUGUACAGACACAUUUAGAGCUAUCUGGAAUUAUUAGGACUUUUAGCUCUAACUUGAGAUAAGCAGAAUAAACUCUCUACUCAAAUGGGAACUAGUUGUGCUUUUCUAAAUCACCAAGUCAAAGGUCUUGAAGCUAGAUAUUCACAGGUGCUUUCUCAUGGCUUCAUUGUUAGUGUCUGAUGUUUAUGGCAAGUCACAUAAAUAAAAAUGAUGUUUUUAUUUAAAGCUAUAUAUACAUAUAUACUUACACACACAUAUAUAGUUCUUGCCAAAACUGGAGAACCAUUUUGAAACAUUCAAAAUGAAAUGACGUGUCAAAACAAUAAGAAAGUUUAUUAUAAUUAUAAUUAACAUAUAUGCAUAUGUAUAUGCAUAAA